UACCAGCACCCCGAGUGGUCGGGACGAUUAUUGGGCCUAAAGCAUCCGUAGCCGGUCCUGCAAGUCUUCCGUUAAAUCCAGCUGCCUCAACAGAUGGGCUGCGGGGGAUACUACAGGGCUAGGAGGCGGGAGAGGCAAGCGGUACUUUAUGGGUAGGGGUAAAAUCCGUUGAUCCAUAGAAGACCACCAGUGGCGAAGGCGGCUUGCCCAGAACGCGCUCGACGGUGAGGAUGAAAGCUGGGGGAGCAAACCGG
rnacentral:rRNA from 1 species